rnacentral:rRNA from 1 species
GACGAACGCUGGCGGCGUGCUUAACACAUGCAAGUCGAACGGAAAGGCCCUGCUUUUGUGGGGUGCUCGAGUGGCGAACGGGUGAGUAACACGUGAGUAACCUGCCCUUGACUUUGGGAUAACUUCAGGAAACUGGGGCUAAUACCGGAUAGGAGCUCCUGUUGCAUGGUGGGGGUUGGAAAGUUUCGGCGGUUGGGGAUGGACUCGCGGCUUAUCAGCUUGUUGGUGGGGUAGUGGCUUACCAAGGCUUUGACGGGUAGCCGGCCUGAGAGGGUGACCGGCCACAUUGGGACUGAGAUACGGCCCAGACUCCUACGGGAGGCAGCAGUGGGGAAUAGUGCACAAUGGGCGGAAGCCUGAUGCAGCAACGCCGCGUGCGGGAUGACGGCCUUCGGGUUGUAAACCGCUUUCGCCUGUGACGAAGCGUGAGUGACGGUAAUGGGUAAAGAAGCACCGGCUAACUACGUG